rnacentral:tRNA from 1 species
GGGCCCGUAGCUCAGUUGGAUAGAGCGGCGGCCUCCUAAGCCGUUGGUCGCGGGUUCGAAUCCCGCCGGGCCCGCCA